rnacentral:lncRNA from 1 species
GGGGCAGAUUAUGUGAACGUUUGUCUGUAACAACACCUGCUCACUAUGUACUUGUUAAAGGCACUUAAACUGUGGGGUCACAAAAGGUUCUCAACACCUAAAUAAAGAAAUAAGAAAAACUAAUCAGGAAUAACACGAUGUUUUGAUUUAUAUCAAUAAUAUAAAUCAAAACAUAAAGUUAUUCCUGAUUAAUUUUUCGAACUAUUUUGAUAUUAAAUGCGUUAAGAACCUUUGGUGACCUCACAGUUUAAAUUCUAUAAUAAGUAAGUAGUGAGCAGUUGUCGUUACAGACACACGUUCACCUAAUCUGUCCC